ensembl:ncRNA lncRNA:CR44467 long non-coding RNA:CR44467
CGCAUUUUACAUUUUUAUAGGCCACCCCCUUAACACCUUUCUCAACCCAAUUUCCAUCGGCGAGAAAACGACUAAAAAAGAUUUGUACCAAUUUUUAUGCGAAGAAGCGUUUGAAAAUUAAGUCUCUUUGCCGCGUUAUUUAUUGCAUAAUUAUAGGAAAAACGUCGACACAACAAACUUCUAGAAAAGAAGCCUUGACGAGCCCAGCAUCCCGUCCAAUAGAAACCAAUGCUCAUAAGCAGAUGAAAAAUGCCAUAAACACAGAUAUGCAUAUGUAUUAAGUGGAAACGUGUAAUUUGCAUAAAAUCACCUGAUUGAACGUUAAAUAUUUUAUUUAAGAUUCAGAUUAUGGAGUCGAGAAAUGCUCAUAAAGAUCACCAUCUAAAAAAAGGGUGUACAAUAAACUUAGAGGAACUUACAGUGGAAAAAAAUACCCAUGAACAUUCCGCAAAACAUCAACUAUAAACUAUACAAUUUUGUAAUAGAUUUCUUUCAGUGUCUGCAUCGAAAUCAAACUGAAAGAGAGAGAUAACCCAACUCUAGAGCACCUGACUCGAUAUACAACAAACAGAAUAUUUGCAUAAAUUAACCAAAAAGUUUUUGAGGCUAUUUUACAUUUUUAAUGAACAACAAUAAAAUAGUCUUAGGCAUAUUGAAAUGAUUAGGUACUCCCCUUUUGGUCGUUUUUGUUUGUGUUUUUCCGAUCAAUGUGCAAAGGAGAUGGAGU